GCCUACGGGGGGCAGCAGUGGGGAAUAUUGCACAAUGGGGGAAACCCUGAUGCAGCGACGCCGCGUGAGUGAAGAAGUAUUUCGGUAUGUAAAGCUCUAUCAGCAGGAACGAGACAAGACGGUACCUGACUAAGAAGCCCCGGCUAACUACGUGCCAGCAGCCGCGGUAAUACGUAGGGGGCAAGCGUUAUCCGGAAUCACUGGGUGUAAGGGAGCGUAGACGGCUGUGCAAGCCUGAAGUGAAAGGCGGGGGGCCAACCCCUGGACUGCUUUGGGGACUGGACGGCUGGAGUGCAGGGGAGGGG
rnacentral:rRNA from 1 species